GGUUCAGGAUGAACGCUAGCGACAGGCCUAACACAUGCAAGUCGAGGGGCAGCACAAGGAGCAAUCUGAGGUGGCGACCGGCGCACGGGUGAGUAACACGUAUGCAACCUGCCUGUAAGCGGGGAAUAACCCGUUGAAAGACGGACUAAUACCGCAUAAUACUAAAUUACUGCAUGGUAAUUUAUUUAAACAUUUAUGGCUUACAGAUGGGCAUGCGCAUGAUUAGCUAGUUGGAGAGGUAACGGCUCCCCAAGGCAACGAUCAUUAGGGGUUCUGAGAGGAAGGUCCCCCCACACUGGUACUGAGACACGGACCAGACUCCUACGGGAGGCAGCAGUGAGGAAUAUUGGUCAAUGGACGAGAGUCUGAACCAGCCAAGUCGCGUGCAGGAAGAAUUGUCCUAUGGAUUGUAAACUGCUUUUGCAGGGGAAUAAAGUGCAUCACGUGUGAUGUUUUGUAUGUACUCUGCGAAUAAGGAUCGGCUAACUCCGUGCCAGCCGCCGC
rnacentral:rRNA from 1 species